rnacentral:rRNA from 1 species
UAUCUCUGUAGAGUCUGCAUAUCAAUAAGCGGAGGAAAAGAAACUAACUAGGAUUCCCUCAGUAACGGCGAGUGAAGCGGGAAGAGCUCAAAUUUGAAAUCUUCAAGGUUCUACCUUGGACGAAUUGUAGUUUAAAGAAGUGUUUUCUGUUGGUGUUUUGGUAAAAGUUCUUUGGAAUAGGACAUCAUAGAGGGUGAGAAUCCCGUAUUUGACCAUUACUUCCAGCUUUGUGAUACACUUUCAAAGAGUCGGAUUGUUUGGGAAUGCAGUCCAAAAUGGGUGGUAAAUUUCAUCUAAAGCUAAAUAUUGGCGAGAGACCGAUAGCGAACAAGUACCGUGAGGGAAAGAUGAAAAGAACUUUGAAAAGAGAGUUAAACAGUACGUGAAAUUGUCAAAAGGGAAGCGUUUGACACCAGUGUUGUUUUCUCGAAAAUCAAUUAAAAAAGCUGGAUUUUGUAUUGUAAUUGACCUUUAUCAGCUUCCUGCUACUCUUUUCUUGUCUUUUUUUAAUGCACUUUUCGUUUAACAAGUCAACAUCAAUUUCUUUUGUUGUAAAAGGGUCAUUGGAAGGUGGCUUUCUUUUCGGAGAAAGUGUUUAUAGCCUUUGGCCUCUGCAAUCGGAGAGAUUGAGGUCUGCAGCGUAGAUCCUUCGGGGUUAGAUACACUUGUGCUAAGUUAUAGCCUUUCGUAGACAACUUGUUGACUAUGAUCAGUCAUGUAGCUUACUCGCUUAUGCUAUUUUACCUACGCUUAGGAUGUUGACGAUCAGCUGAGCGCG